rnacentral:tRNA from 1 species
CCUGGCGGCUCAGAUGGUAAAGUGUCUGCCUGCAGUGCAGGAGACCCAGGUUCAAUCCCUGGGUCGGGA